GUUGCUUAAACUAAGACGUCUAUAGUAAGUUGCGUAAUUUUCUGACUUAUCUCAUAAAAUAAGCUAUUACUUAAACUUGUGAACCAAGUGAAAUUAGAGGAGUGGAUUAAAUAAAAAGUCUUCUUUGAAAAAAUCCCGGAGGAAUGUUUGUUUUACUACCACGUGUGUUACUGCGUAAUGUCCUGUCUCAAAACACUAAAGAAAUAUCACUGCCAGUCAAAGGAGAACACGUGCAAAAUGUCCGUAAUCGGUUUGAUUUUUUAUCUACUGGUGCAACUGCUUCAAAGUUUGUCGGAUGCUGUUAAUGUUAUACAGCUUCCAUCUUCGGUGCUGAAACGCGCAGGAGAAGUCGCUGAACUUACUUGUGAACAUGAUAGUAGCAGCUAUGAUCGCAUGUUCUGGUAUCAGCAAACUGGAGAAAUGAAAGAUUUGAAGCUAAUAGGGUAUUUGUUCACUACAAUCCCAGACUAUGAACAGGGUAUGCAAAAUAAAUUUACUAUUUCUGGUGAUGGAGCAAAGAAAGGAUCAUUAACGAUUUCAAAACUCAGAGCAGAAGACACCGCAACCUAUUUCUGUGCAGCCAGUCAACACGGCGAUACAGAAGGUUUUAUACCCCAUUCAAAAAAUCAGAGUUACUCACCAUCUUUUGCCUAUUCCAUUGAUCCAAUGCAAAGUCGACAUGAGUUAUUUUGUAUGUGAGAGUCAGUGCGCCCUGCAAUAGAAUGGAGCCGCUUCUGGUCUCGUUACUGUAUUGCUUCUGAAGGCUAAACAUUCGUUAGUCUGAGUACAGAUUAUUUACAUUGUAUUUAAUUAUGCUGCUUACUCUUUUGCUCUGUCACUAUUUCAUUCAAAAUCAUAUUUGCAAGUGUUUGCAAAGUUGCAAGAUCGAUUUAACAGUAACUGUCUGAACCACAUAGACCUCUUAGCUCAUACUUCUAUAUAUUCCGUUAAAUGUCUGUCCCCAAUAAUUCUCAUCGUCUCUUUCUCAAAUGUUAAUAGGACUAGUUCCGUGGAUAAAUUAAAUUCUUUCUUUCUUUCUUUCUAUAAAUCCGAAAUUCAAAUUUAGUAUUUUUUCACAUGUAACAGCAAUAUUUUGUAAGGAC